CAGCAGCCACGGUAAUACGUAGGUCCCGAGCGUUGUCCGGAUUUAUUGGGCGUAAAGCGAGCGCAGGCGGUUAGAUAAGUCUGAAGUUAAAGGCUGUGGCUUAACCAUAGUACGCUUUGGAAACUGUUUAACUUGAGUGCAAGAGGGGAGAGUGGAAUUCCAUGUGUAGCGGUGAAAUGCGUAGAUAUAUGGAGGAACACCGGUGGCGAAAGCGGCUCUCAGGCUUGUAACUGACGCUGAGGCUCGAAAGCGUGGGGAGCAAACGGGAUUAGAUACCCGUGUAGUCCCUGUCUCUUAUACA
rnacentral:rRNA from 1 species